rnacentral:rRNA from 1 species
AUUUGUUGAAGGGCCGCAGUAUUUUGACUGUGCAAAGGUAGCAUAAUCAUUAGUUUUUUAAUUUAAAGCUUGUAUGAAGGGUUGGACGAGGUAAAUUCUGUCUCUAAAUAAUUAAUUUUAGAAUUUAAUUUUUAAGUUAAAAAGCUUAGAUAUAUUUAAAAGACGAGAAGACCCUAUAGAUCUUUAUAUUAUUUUUAUUGAUUAUAUAUAAGAUUUUUUAAUUAAUUAAUAGAAUUAGUAUUUUAUUGGGGUAAUAAAAAGAUUAAAUAAAUUCUUUUUUAAUUUUAACAUUAAUAAAUGAAUAAAUGAUCCGGUAUUAUUGAUUAAAAGAUUAAGUUACCUUAGGGAUAACAGCGUAAUUUUUUUAGAGAGUUCAUAUCGAUAAAAAAGUUUGCGACCUCGAUGUUGGAUUAAAAAUUAUUUUGGGUGUAGAAGCUUGAAAUUUUGGUCUGUUCGACCAUUAAAUUUUUACAUGAUCUGAGUUCAGACCGGCGUAAGCCAGGUCGGUUUCUAUCUUUAGAGAAAUUUUAGAUUUUAGUACGAAAGGACCAAAUUUAAUAUAUAUUAAUAUUUAAAAAUUUUGAUUAU